UCCUUGGUAGUAGUGAAAGAUCCCCAAAGGGAGACCCUCACUCAAGCCUCGGGAUGUGGCGUGGACCCAAGAGAGACGCGGAGACCG
rnacentral:pre_miRNA from 7 species